rnacentral:lncRNA from 1 species
CUGGGGCCAGGAGUGAGGGAUCUGCAGCAGCUUCGGGGCUGGACCUGGCACCGCUGUCCUCCCUCCUGCUUCCACCGCCUGUGUUAAAGCUACAGCACUGCCCGGCGUGCUGCGGGGGCGGGAGGUCACAGGUUAAUUGCAAACAGAUGAUUAACUUGGAGCCAGAGGAGGAAAGAGCUCUGUGUCUUGCCGCCUCGCAGCGAUGUGGAAAGCAGCGUGCAGGGGAGUCCGCAAGGACCUGUCCUCCGCAUGUGCUGUGGGGCUCCUCCAGCUCCCAAGUCUUUAACGAAAAGGAGUAGUUUGCAGCACUACCAAACAAAUUACACGUUUGUUUUCUGGCUGUUGGCACUACUGCUGCUGAUAAAAGCAGCUUGUUGUGCUGCGUUAGCCCUGGGAGUGUGGAGGACCCACCUGCCAGACCCCGCUGGGCUGGGGAAGGGUGCAGCUGCAGUUUUCUCAGCAAAACCAAGCCAGGGUCACACAGCUGGGGCAGAGGCAGCUGGAACCAGGGCCAUCGGUACCCCUGUGUGCCCAGGAGAAGGACAGAUGGACUCGGGGCAAGCUAUCACCAGUGCGUGCUCUGCUGGGACAACAGUAGGUCCUGGGCCCCCAGCCCACCUCCUGGAGCAGAUAUCACCCAGGAUCCUGCCAGGCCGGGAGAGAUGCCACAGCUCUCCAGAUCUGCGAGCGUGCCAGCAAAAGGCAGCACAUCCAGCCCCAGAUGCCAGACACAAGGAGCUUGGCUGGCCACAAGCAAACACAAAUGAUUAA